CUGGCUCAGGAUGAACGCUAGCGGCAGGCCUAAUACAUGCAAGUCGAACGGGAUUGCCUCCUCGGGAGGCAUGAGAGUGGCGCACGGGUGCGCAACGCGUAUGCAACAACCCCCGACGGGCGGAUAGCCGGUGGAAACGCCGGAUAAUACGCCAUGGUUCCGGUGGAGGGCAUCCUCUACUGGAUAAAGCUACGGCGGUCGGGGACGGGCAUGCGUCCCAUUAGAUGGUAGGCGGGGUGACGGCCCACCUAGUCCGCGAUGGGUAGGGGAUCUGAGAGGACGGUCCCCCACACUGGUACUGAGACACGGACCAGACUCCUGCGGGAGGCAGCAGUAAGGGAUAUUGGUCAAUGGGCGGAAGCCUGAACCAAGCCAUGCCGCGUGAGGGAAUGAGGCCCUACGGGUCGUGAACCUCUUUUAUUCGGGGACAAGGACGCGGUCGGGAACCGUGUUUGAGGGUACCGAAGGAAUAAGCGUCGGCUAACUCCGUGCCAGCCGCUGC
rnacentral:rRNA from 1 species